rnacentral:rRNA from 1 species
GGCGAACGCUGGCGGCAGGCCUAACACAUGCAAGUCGAACGAACCUUUCGGGGUUAGUGGCGGACGGGUGAGUAACACGUGGGAACGUGCCUUUAGGUUCGGAAUAACUCAGGGAAACUUGUGCUAAUACCGAAUGUGCCCUUCGGGGGAAAGAUUUAUCGCCUUUAGAGCGGCCCGCGUCUGAUUAGCUAGUUGGUUGAGGUAAUGGCUCACCAAGGCGACGAUCAGUAGCUGGUCUGAGAGGAUGAUCAGCCACAUUGGGACUGAGACACGGCCCAAACUCCUACGGGAGGCAGCAGUGGGGAAUCUUGCGCAAUGGGCGAAAGCCUGACGCAGCCAUGCCGCGUGAAUGAUGAAGGUCUUAGGAUUGUAAAAUUUUUUCACCGGGGACGAUAAUGACGGUACCCGGAGAAGAAGCCCCGGCUAACUUCGUG